UUUUGUUGUUUUUAGGUUGUGUUGCAAAGUGACCAAAAUCCAACGUUGAGUCAACGUCUUAAGCCAACGUCAUAUUGAUGUCAAACACUGACAUUUAGUCGUCAGGUAUGGCAACCAAAACCCAACGUCUCCUAGACGUCAUAAUUGUAACGUCCACCCAACGUCAAAUUCUGACAUCAUUAGACGUUGAUCUUUUGUUAGUUUUAGGUUGUGGCAUUAACUAACCAAAAUCCAACGUCGAGGCAACGUCUCAAGCCAACGUCAUAUUGAUUUCAAAUACUGACAUUUAGUUGUCAGGUAUGGCAACCAAAACCCAACAUCUCCUAGACGUCAUAAUUGUAACGUCCAACCAACGUCAAAUUCUGACAUCAUUAGACAUUGAUCUUUUGUUAGUUUUAGGUUGUGGCAUUAACUAACCAAAAUCCAACGUCUCAAGCCAACGUCAUAUUGAUGUCAAAUAUUGACAUUUAGUCGUCAGGUAUGGCAACCAAAACCCAACGUCAUCUAGAUGUCAUAAUUGUAACGUCCACCCAACGUCAAAUUCUGACAUCAUUAGACGUUGAUCUUUCAUUAGUUUUAGGUUGUGGCAUUAACUAACCAAAAUCCAACGUCGAGGCAACGUCUCAAGCCAACGUCAUACUGAUGUCAAAUACUGACAUUUAGUCGUCAGGUAUGGCAACCAAAACCCAACGUCUCCUAGACGUCAUAAUUGUAACGUCCACCCAACGUCAAAUUCUGACAUCAUUAGACGUUAAUCUUUUGUAAGUUUUAGGUUGUGGCAUUAACUAACCAAAAUCCAACGUCGAACCAGUGUCUGAAGUCAACGUCAUAUUUAUGUCAAAUACUGACAUUUAGUCGUCAGGUAUGGCAACCAAAACCCGACGUCUCCUAGAUGUCAUAAUUGUAACAUCCACCCAACGUCAAAUUCUGACAUCAUUAGACGUUGAUCUUUUGUUAGUUUUAGGUUGGGGCAUUAACUAACCAACAUCCAACGUCGAGCCAACGUCUCAAGCCAACGUCAUAUUGAUGUCAAAUACUGACAUUUAGUCGUCAGGUAUGGCAAACAAAACCCAACGUCUCCUAGACGUCAUAAUUGUAACAUCCACCCACCGUCAAAUUCUGACAUCAUUAGACGUUGAUCUUUCAUUAGUUUUAGGUUGUGGCAUUAACUAACCAACAUCCAACGUCGAGCCAACGUCUCAAGCCAACGUCAUACUGAUGUCAAAUACUGACAUUUAGUCGUCAGGUAUUAGACAUUGAUCUUUCGUUAGUUUUAGGUUGUAGCAUUUACUAAUACUAACAUUUAGU